rnacentral:lncRNA from 1 species
GAGGAAGUGAGCUGCCAUGUACUAGGCCACGUGGCAAGGGCCUGGUUGGGGACCUCCAGGGGUUGAGAGCAUCCUCUGGACAACAUGGAAAAAGAAAAUGAAAAUGGUGACCUCAGCCCUAUAGCUAGAAGGAAUUGAAUCCUGUCAACAACGAUGUGCGUAGUGCCUCCGCCCAUCUCUCUCUUGCUCCUGGUCUCAUCGUGACGGGCCUGGUCCUGCCUCACUUUAUGCCACGACUAAGAGCUCCCUGAGGCCUCUCCAGAAGCAGAUAUCACUAUGCUUCCUACACAGCCUGCAGAACCGUAUACUCUUCUGCCGAGAGACUGUACUUCUCAGCCUCCCUUGUGGCUAGGUGUGCCAUGUGACUGAGUGCUCAUGAUUGAGAUCUUCUAGGGACUGCUUGAAUUCCUUGACUCACAGUGCCUCACACCAACCUCUGGUUCUAUUGAAACUUUGUCCGGCCUCCUCCCAACCUGCCGUCUCAACCUCUAGUUUCCCUCUUAUAAGGACCUUUGUAAUUGUGAUUACAUCACACUCACCUGGAUAAUUCAGGAAAAUCUCAUCAUGUCAAGAUCCUUAACACAAUAAAAUCUGCAAAUUCCCU